UGAAUACGAGGCACUAAGGUGCUGAAGUAGUGUAUGUCAUACUUCCAAGAAAAGCUUGCACUACCGUAAGAUAAAAAUGCCUGUACCAUAACCGACACAGGUGGGUAGGUAGAGUAUACUAAGGGGCGCGAGAUAACUCUCUCUAAGGAACUCGGCAAAAUAACUCCGUAACUUCGGGAGAAGGAGUGCCUUAUUCUAUAAGGUUGCAAUAACAAGAUCCAAGCAACUGUUUAUCAAAAACACAGGUCUCCGCUAAGUCGUAAGACGAUGUAUGGGGGCUGACGCCUGCCCAGUGCCAGAAGGUUAAAGAAGUCGGUUAGCAAUUGCGAAGCUGGUAACUGAAGCCCUGGUGAACGGCGGCCGUAACUAUAACGGUCCUAAGGUAGCGAAAUUCCUUGUCGGGUAAGUUCCGACCCGCACGAAAGGCGUAAUGAUUUGGAUACUGUCUCGGAGAGGACUCGGUGAAAUAGACUUGUCUGUGAAGAUGCGGACUACCUGCACCAGGACAGAAAGACCCUAUGAAGCUUUACUGUAACUUGAAAUUGAAAUUGGACUUUAUUCGCGCAGUAUAGGUGGGAGGCGUUGAUUAUAAUCUUGUGGGAUUAUUGGAGCCAUUAGUGAGAUACCACUCUUGUAAUGUUAGAUUUCUAACUUUGAAUCAUGAUCUGGUCAAAGAACAGUUUCAGGCGGGCAGUUUGACUGGGUCGGUCGCCUCCUAAAUGGUAACGGAGGCGUACAAAGGUUUCCUCUGAACGGGUAGAAAUCGUAUCUAGAGUGUAAAGGCAUAAGGAAGCUUGACUGUGAGACCUACAAGUCGAGCAGGGACGAAAGUCGGUCUUAGUGAUCUGACGGUACUGAGUGGAAAGGCCGUCACUCAACGGAUAAAAGUUACUCUAAGGAUAACAGGCUGAUCUCCCCCAAGAGUUCACAUCGACGGGGAGGUUUGGCACCUCGAUGUCGGCUCAUCGCAUCCUGGGGCGGUAGUACGUCCCAAGGGUUGGGCUGUUCGCCCAUGAAAGCGGUACGCGAGCUGGGUUCAGAACGUCGUGAGACAGUUCGGUCCAUAUCCGGUGUAGGCGUUAGAAUAUUGAGAGGAGCCUUCUUUAGUACGAGAGGACCGAGAAGGACAUACCUCUGGUGUACCAGUUAUCGUGCCAACGGUAAACGCUGGGUAGCUAUGUAUGGAGUGGAUAACCGCUGAAAGCAUCUAAGUGGGAAGCCCACCUCAAGAUAAGUAUUCUCA
rnacentral:rRNA from 1 species